rnacentral:rRNA from 1 species
GCAUAUCAAUAAGCGGAGGAAAAGAAAACCAACAGGGAUUGCCUCAGUAACGGCGAGUGCAAGCGGCAACAGCUCAAAUUUGAAAUCUGGCUCCUUCGGGGUCCGAGUUGUAAUUUGUAGAAGAUGCUUUGGGUGUGGCCCUGGUCUAAGUUCCUUGGAACAGGACGUCAUAGAGGGUGAGAAUCCCGUAUGUGACUGGGUGCCCACGCCCGUGUAAAGCUCUUUCGACGAGUCGAGUUGUUUGGGAAUGCAGCUCAAAAUGGGUGGUAAAUUUCAUCUAAAGCUAAAUAUUGGCCAGAGACCGAUAGCGCACAAGUAGAGUGAUCGAAAGAUGAAAAGCACUUUGGAAAGAGAGUUAAACAGUACGUGAAAUUGUUGAAAGGGAAGCGCUUGCAAUCAGACUUGCGCGCCGCUGAUCAUCCCGGGUUCUCCCAGGUGCACUCGGCGGCGCUCAGGCCAGCAUCGGUUCGGGUGGUGGGAUAAAGGCCUUGGGAAUGUAGCUCCUCUCGGGGAGUGUUAUAGCCCUCGGUGCCAUGCCGCCUACCUGGACCGAGGACCGCGCUUCGGCUAGGAUGCUGGCGUAAUGGUUGUAAGCGACCCGUCUUGAAACACGGACCAAGGAGUCUAACAUCUAUGCGAGUGUUUGGGUGCUAAACCCAUACGCGUAAUGAAAGUGAACGUUGGUAAGAACCCUUUAGGGUGCAUUAUCGACCGAUCCUGAUGUCUUCGGACGGAUUUGAGUAUGAGCAUAGCUGUUGGGACCCGAAAGAUGGUGAACUAUGCCUGAAUAGGGUGAAGCCAGAGGAAACUCUGGUGGAGGCUCGCAGCCGGUUCUGACGUGCAAAUCGAUCGUCAAAUUUUGGGUAUAGGGGGCGAAAAGACUAAUCGAAACCAUCUAGUAGCUGGUUUCCUGCCCGAAG